CAGUCGAACGGGAAUUAUUUUAUUGAAACUUCGGUCGAUUUAAUUUAAUUCUAUUGGCGGACGGGUGAGUAACGCGUGGGUAACCUGCCUUAUACAGGGGGAUAACAGUCAGAAAUGGCUGCUAAUACCGCAUAAGCGCACAGAGCUGCAUGGCUCAGUGUGAAAAACUCCGGUGGUAUAAGAUGGACCCGCGUUGGAUUAGCUUGUUGGUGGGGUAACGGCCCACCAAGGCGACGAUCCAUAGCCGGACUGAGAGGUUGAACGGCCACAUUGGGACUGAGAUACGGCCCAGACUCCUACGGGAGGCAGCAGUCGGGAAUAUUGCGCAAUGGAGGAAACUCUGACGCAGUGACGCCGCGUGGAGGAAGAAGGUCUUCGGAUUGUAAACCCCUGUUGUUGAGGAAGAUAAUGACGGUACUCAACAAGGAAGUGACGGCUAACUACGUGCCAGCAGCCGCGGUAAAACGUAGGUCACAAGCGUUGUCCGGAAUUACUGGGUGUAAAGGGAGCGCAGGCGGGAGAACAAGUUGGAAGUGAAAUCCAUGGGCUCAACCCAUGAACUGCUUUCAAAACUGUUUUUCUUGAGUAGUGCAGAGGUAGGCGGAAUUCCCGGUGUAGCGGUGGAAUGCGUAGAUAUCGGGAGGAACACCAGUGGCGAAGGCGGCCUACUGGGCACCAACUGACGCUGAGGCUCGAAAGUGUGGGUAGCAAACAGGAUUAGAUACCCUGGUAG
rnacentral:rRNA from 1 species